GUUGGUUUGCUUGAGAGGUUAAGAGGGAAGACUUAAGAUUUUUUGCACUUAAGUGUGCAUGGCUUCAAACCCCAUAGCUAGGA
rnacentral:tRNA from 1 species